AUGACGUCACGUCCGGAUAAACAAAUGCGCUGAGGGUCCGCGCGUAUAUUUUGUAGCUUGAUUUCUAUGAUAAACAUGCAAUAUGGAAAGGUAAAUGCGAUUGAAAUGAAUAAAAUACAAUCCAUACUUGCUAACAAAACCGACGAUUCGGGUUGACAACUAGAAAUAUGCGUAAAAUAGCGAUACAACUAUAUCUGGAGUCAAUCUGGGUCGCAAGACGCACAUAAAAGAUAUAUCAGUAUUGAUUAACAUACAUGUAGAACAUCAGACCUGUACCAUUGGCAGCCUGUACCUUCACCAGAACAGACCAGAUCCCUCACAAGACAGGAAGUAUGUGUCCAGCAAAGCAUUCUAUGGUUGAAGCUCUAAUAUCAGGUUGUAAGUGGUGUUAGUACAGACACAGAAGAGAGAAAGCGGCUAAAAAACUGCAGUUCAGAGGGAUGAAAAUCUGAUCUGAUACUUUGUUGUGAAAAGGGUAAAAUUCAUAUGGAACCCUGAAGAAGACAAAUACCAGAAACUUAGGGUUAGAAGUUAACAGUACAUGUUCAUACUUCCAUGAGGCGAAAGGUUUGAGCUGCGAACACCAAAGCAAAAGAUUACAGGUCCAGAGUAUGAUAGGGAUUUGCAAAAGAAUUCUAUGUGUGGUUUGGGGACAGCCAGGUUAGCAUUAUCUCUGGAUCUAAGUUCAAGCUCACAUGAAUUUUGCAGUGAAAUGUAUGAAGUUCAGUUGUAAUGGUAAUGAGAUGCAGGUCUUUGUCCUACAUGGUGAGGGGAACAGUGUAUGGCAUUUUUGGAAAACAUGUAUUAGAAGAUUUCCCUGACAUGGAGCUGGUGGACAUAGCUCAGAGUUGUGAGCCUGCUCUCAAGGCAUAUAAUAGCGAUUUGGCAGUUGAGUCCAUACAAUUAGAGUGGAUCAGGUGUAAGAGGGAAAUUUACCACAGGAUGAAAAUUACAUGAAAAUGAAUGGAGGUCUUUGCUUAGUUCUAGCUCUCUGAGUGAUUUGAUGUUAAUCCAUUCAGUAUGGAAUUCCAGUGGUAGUAGGGCCAGGAGACCAUUCUACAAUGAUAAAAAACCUGCCAAAUUCACCAAUCGCAGUCUCAGUAUCGACACAGAUGAUGUGUUUCUAAUUGCCGAGAACUUGACAUGGCUAGGAAAGGUGUAUGUGAUGAUGAUGGUGACAGUGACGACGAUGCCACUGAUGAUGAGGACUACAUGCACAGACAAGACUUCAUUGCUGUCAAAACAGAGCUUAUAGACUUAUGAUGGACCUUGUUGAAUAAUAAUUACUAAAAAUAUGUAAUGAUACUUGAGUAAAGUUGAAUAAUAUGACUGAAGUUUACUUAAAUUGCUCAACAGGCAGUAGAACCACCUGAAAUCUUGUCGGACCAGCAGUUUGCAAAGUUGCUUGUCCUUUGGGCCACCACAUAAAAAAAAGUUAGUGUCUUGUCCUGAACGAUGUCGACGACUGAGCUUGACCCUGCUGAACAGAUUAUGGCACCAUUACCUAGUAUUUGCUUGUAGUGUGCCAUUAAGAGCAUUUGUCCAUUUAGCAUUGGAUUAUGUGGGACCUUUCAUUACUGUCCUAAGGUCGAGGAAAACAGGUCUGAAAUAAGAUAUUUAUGUCUGUUUACUUGUCUGAACACAUGGGCUGUUCAUCUUGAAAUCUCAUUUGGAAUAGAUACUGAUGCAUUUCAAAUUCAUUUGAUCAGUUUGCUGGUCGUAGAGGUCUUCCAGGAACAGUUCUGUCUGAUAAUGGAACAGACUUUGUCUGAUAGUGAAAAGGAACUCAGAUAAUUAGUAAACGCACUGAAUCAUGAUCAGAUAAAAGAAAAGACAGCAAAUAAAGGAGUUCAGUUGCAUUUCAUUCCUACAUUAGCGCCACAUUGGGGAGGUGUACAUGAAAUCAUUGUGAAAAGUGCUAAACGAGCCAUGAAUUACAUGUUACAGAAUGCUUCAGUGUCAGAUGAGGAAUUUAUGACCGCAUUUGUAGGAGCAGAAGCUCUUAUCAAUUUGAGACCUCUUAUUUAUCAGUCAGCUAACCCUGCUGAUUGCAUACCUCUUACUCCAAAUCAUUUCCAACAUGGACAAAUAGGAGGAGAGUUCGCUCCUGAGAGCCUUGAUACAAAUGAUUUCAGCCCUAGAAAUGAUGCGACUUCAAGAGUUAGUGCGAAACUUUUGGGGUUGUUGGAUUUGUGAGUGGUUGCCAAACCUAUGUACCUCCAAGAAAUGGAACAGAGUUUGACCAGAUCUGAAAGUUGGAGAUGUCGUUAUUAUGGUAUAACCUGGCGUGCGUCGAGCACAUUUGCCUUUAGGUUGUGUUACACGCGCUCAUACAAGUCGCAAUGGUCAUGUGAGAGCAGUAAACAUUUUAGUAAAUGGUAAAGAAAAAACACAGCCCAUUACAAAGUUAUGCCCAUUAGAAAUUAACAACAGUGAUUAACAGUAAUGUGUUAUGCAGAAAUAUUGCAUUUUAUAUGGCAAAAAGUGUAAAUAUUCUCGCAUGUGGAGGGCAUAAUAAUCCCUCAAAAUGAUUUCGUGUGUGGAGGGCAUAAUAAUCCCUCAAAAAUAAUUCCGUGUGUGGAGGGCAUAAUAAUCCCUCAAAAAUAAUAUUGCUUGUGGAGGGCAUAAUACUCCCUCAAAAAUAAUUCAGCAUGUUGAGGGCAUAUAAUCCUUUAAAAAUAAUUUUGUGUGUGGAGGGCAUAGUAAUCCCUCAAAAAAGUCUUGUGUGGAGGGCAUAAUUAUCCCUAAAAAAUAAUGUUGUGUGUGGAGGGCAUAAUAAUGCCUCAAAAAUGAUUUCGUGUGUGGAGGGCAUAAUAAUCCCUCAAAAAUAAUUCUGCAUGUGGAGGACAUAAUAAUCCCUCUAAGAUUAUUUCGCGUGUGGAGGGCAUAAUAAUCCCUCGAUAUAUUUUAAGAUAAAGAAAUAUCUGGAACUAUUAUAUUAUAAUCUUGGAGAAAGAGAAAGACAUUUUUCACUUUCAGAAAACAGAAGAUGCACUGUAUAAAAAGAUGAAGAAGAUUAUAUUAUCAUUACUAUGUAUUGUAAUUUUUGACAUGUAUAUAUUUUCAGACAUAUAAUUGAAUUAUUGUAUCACAUAAGGCAAUUUUUCAAAAUGUUUGAAGUCAAUGAUACAAAAUUAAAAACAUGAAUACUUUUAUUAUUUAAACGCAUUGUAUUGAACUGUGUUAUACCAAAAGGUCAGAAAUUUUGUCAAAAUCAAUGUAAUAGCUGAUAGUCAUUCUUUAAAAUGGUAUACAUUUUAGUAUUGAAAACUGGAAAAAGUAACAGAUUUGCUGUAUAUAUCAAUGUUGUAGUGAGUUACUAGAAAGUACAUAUACAUUUCAAGUUCUUGCUGAAAGUUUUUGUUUAACAAGGAAAAUACUAGGUUGUUUUUUUUCUCACCAGAAUAAUGUCAAAACUUCAUAGGAUGAUUGGACAUGCAGAGCAGAUGACCCCUUUAGAUUUCGAAGUAACUGUUAAAUGGUCAAGGCUCACAGGGGCCUGAACAUAGAAACCAUUUACAAUCAAUUAAUUUGAGAACCGCUUGACCUAAGAAUGUUUAAACUUCAUAGGAUGAUUGAACAUGUAGCAUAGAUGACUCUUAUUGAUUUUAGGGGUCACUAUUAAAACUCAAGGUCACAGCAGCCAGAAAAUGGAAAUCCAUUUCCUGUCAGUAACUUGGGAACCAUUAACCUAGAGCCUACAACUUCAUAAGGAUGAUAGGACUUACAGAGUAAAUGACCUCUAUCUGUUUUGAGGUCACUUAAUCAGAGGUCAAGGUCACAGUGACCAUCUCUUCGCCACACUUAAUUUUUGUUCAAUAACUGGAGAACCAUAUUUGACGUUGAAUCUUAUAUCUUCAUAGGAUGACAGGGCUUACAGAGUAAAUGAGCCAUAACAUUUUUGGGUAUGUAGAUCGAAGGUCAAGGGUACAGGAGCCUGAACAUGGAAAGCUGUUUCUGAUUAAAAACCUGAGAACCACCUGAACCAGAAUGCUUGACUGUCAAUCCAGAGGUCCUGGGUUCGAAUCCCAGUCAAAACACUGGAAAUUUUUGAGGUGCUCUUGAGUGUCUCCCACCUUAUUUAGAGGCCUGUACUGGUUCUUCCCAGGAAAGACGACUUCAUGUGUAUUGGUGCUUUACACCGAGCACAUAAAGAACCAGACUGUCUAUUCACAAAGAGCUAGGCUAAGUAAGCCAGACAAGUCUGUGUCUAAAAAUUAUUUCUCUCAAUCAGUUCUAGUGGCUAUAUCACUCUAUCCCCCUGGUCAGAUCGCUGUGUGGCUGCGUUUGCUACAUGAAAAGCGUCUUUGAACGUGUUUAUCAUGAAAAGGGUGCUAUAUAAAUCUGGUAUAAUAAUAAUAAUGGUAAUGUUGAAACUUCAUAGGAUGAUCGAACAUGUAGAUGACCCCUAUUGAGUUUUGGGUCACUUUUUUAAAGGUCAAGGUCACAGGGACCAGAAUAUGGAAAAAGAUUUACGAUAAAUAGCUUGAGAACCAUUUGACCUAGAAACAUAAAACCUAAUAGGAUGAUAGGACUUACAGAGUAGAUAAUCCUUAUCAAUUUUAUGGUCACUUGAGCUACGGUCAAGGUCACAGGGGUCUGAAAAUGGAAAAUGGUAUCUGAUCAAUAACUUGAGAACCACUUGACACAGAAUGUUGAAACUUCCUAGGAUGGUUAGACAUACCUAGUAGGUUAGACUAGCUCCUAGACUAUGAUAUAUCUUUUUACAUUUUUAUCAU
rnacentral:lncRNA from 1 species